rnacentral:piRNA from 1 species
UGGAUCUUAUGGAGGCAUUGUCUCA